rnacentral:rRNA from 1 species
GUGGGGAAUUUUGGACAAUGGGCGCAAGCCUGAUCCAGCAAUGCCGCGUGCAGGAAGAAGGCCUUCGGGUUGUAAACUGCUUUUGUACGGAACGAAACGGUCCUGGCUAAUAUCCGGGGCUAAUGACGGUACCGUAAGAAUAAGCACCGGCUAACUACGUGCCAGCAGCCGCGGUAAUACGUAGGGUGCGAGCGUUAAUCGGAAUUACUGGGCGUAAAGCGUGCGCAGGCGGUUUUGUAAGACAGGCGUGAAAUCCCCGGGCUCAACCUGGGAAUUGCGCUUGUGACUGCAAGGCUGGAGUGCGGCAGAGGGGGAUGGAAUUCCGCGUGUAGCAGUGAAAUGCGUAGAUAUGCGGAGGAACACCGAUGGCGAAGGCAAUCCCCUGGGCCUGCACUGACGCUCAUGCACGAAAGCGUGGGGAGCAAACAGGAUUAGAAACCCCUGUAGUCC